UACGGAGGGAGCUAGCGUUGUUCGGAAUUACUGGGCGUAAAGCGCACGUAGGCGGCUAUUCAAGUCGGGGUGAAAGCCCGGGGCUCAACCCCGGAACUGCCCUCGAAACUAGGUAGCUAGAAUCUUGGAGAGGUCAGUGGAAUUCCGAGUGUAGAGGUGAAAUUCGUAGAUAUUCGGAAGAACACCAGUGGCGAAGGCGACUGACUGGACAAGUAU
rnacentral:rRNA from 1 species